rnacentral:misc_RNA from 1 species
AGGACUACUGGGGUAUCUAAUCCUGUUUGCUCCCCACGCUUUCGUGCCUCAGCGUCAGUCAUGGUCCAGUAAGCCGUCUACACCGCCGGUGUUCCUCCUGAUAUCUACGCAUUUCACCGCUACACCAGGAAUUCCGCUUACCUCUCCCACACUCCAGCCCCGCAGUUUUCGGCGCACCCUCCCAGUUAAGCCGGGAGAUUUCACACCAAACUUACGGAACCGCCUACGCACUCUUUACGCCCAGUAACUCCGAACAACGCUUGCUGCCUACGUUUUACCGCGGCGGCUGGCACC